rnacentral:rRNA from 1 species
GACGAACGCUGGCGGCGUGCUUAACACAUGCAAGUCGAGCGACGCUCUUCCUUCGGGGAGAUGACGGAGCGGCGAACGGGUGAGUAACACGUGGGCAACCUGCCCCUAGCUCUGGGACAACACCGGGAAACCGGUGCUAAUACCGGAUACGACAUCGAGCGGCAUCUCUCGAUGUGGAAAGUUUUUUCGGCUAGGGAUGGGCCCGCGGCCUAUCAGCUUGUUGGUGGGGUAAUGGCCCACCAAGGCGACGACGGGUAGCCGGCCUGAGAGGGCGACCGGCCACACUGGGACUGAGACACGGCCCAGACUCCUACGGGAGGCAGCAGUGGGGAAUAUUGCGCAAUGGGCGAAAGCCUGACGCAGCGACGCCGCGUGAGGGAUGACGGCCUUCGGGUUGUAAACCUCCUUCAGCAGGGACGAAUUCAGACGGUACCUGCAGAAGAAGCACCGGCCAACUACGUG